AUUGAACGCUGGCGGCAGGCUUAACACAUGCAAGUCGAGCGAGCGGCGGACGGGUGAGUAAUGUCUGGGAAACUGCCUGAUGGAGGGGGAUAACUACUGGACACGGUAGCUAAUACCGCAUACCAUCAGAUGUGCCCAAAUGGGAUUAGCUAGUAGGUGGGGUAAUGGCUCACCUAGGCGACGAUCCCUAGCUGGUCUGAGAGGAGGACCAGCAAAACUGGAAAUGAGACACGGGCCAGAAUCAGAAGGGAGGCAGCAGGGGGGAAUAUGGCACAAUGGGCGAAAGCAUGAUGCAGCCAUGACGCGUGUGUGAAGAAGGCCUGCGGGGUGUAAAGCACUUUCAGCGAGGAGGCGUUACUCGCAGAAGAAGCACCGGCUAACUCCGUGCCAGCAGCCGCGGUAAUUC
rnacentral:rRNA from 1 species